UGAACGCUGGCGGCGUGCCUAAUACAUGCAAGUCGAGCGAACAGACGAGGAGCUUGCUCCUCUGACGUUAGCGGCGGACGGGUGAGUAACACGUGGAUAACCUACCUAUAAGACUGGGAUAACUUCGGGAAACCGGAGCUAAUACCAGAUAAUAUAUUGAACCGCAUGGUUCAAUAGUGAAAGACGGUUUUGCUGUCACUUAUAGAUGGAUCCGCGCCGCAUUAGCUAGUUGGUAAGGUAACGGCUUACCAAGGCAACGAUGCGUAGCCGACCUGAGAGGGUGAUCGGCCACACUGGAACUGAGACACGGUCCAGACUCCUACGGGAGGCAGCAGUAGGGAAUCUUCCGCAAUGGGCGAAAGCCUGACGGAGCAACGCCGCGUGAGUGAUGAAGGUCUUCGGAUCGUAAAACUCUGUUAUUAGGGAAGAACAAAUGUGUAAGUAACUAUGCACGUCUUGACGGUACCUAAUCAGAAAGCCACGGCUAACUACGUG
rnacentral:rRNA from 1 species